UCUAACCUAAAGGUCUAAAACACAGCUAAAAUAAACAUGAUUUUACAUUGCACAUAUAAAAAUAGUUUACAUGAAGAAGGUGUCUUUUCUACUUGAUUACAGUAAUGCUUAUUAAAUAUGACCAUGCUUAUUAAUGCAUUUCAUUUGAUAAUAGAUACCUUCCCAGAAUCUUAUGUAGUCCUGGGUCUAUUGACACAGUGACCAUCUUGUGACGAUACUGGUGUUGAAAUGUAUCCAAAUUACUUGUUUAUAUUUGUCACUUCCUUUGAUGCUGAUUUAUUAAUCAACAAUUAUUACAUUUAGCAUUUAAAAUCAGGUCCCACCGAGAUUUGAACUCGGAUCGCUGGAUUCAGAGUCCAGAGUGCUAACCAUUACACCAUGGAACCGCCUUGACCCUGUUGAUUCUACAUCAAAACGCUACAAUGGCGUCAAGGUUUCAACAGGUUACGCUGAAAGUGUUUGAGGGACAUAGAUAUGAGUAAACACAUUAUUAUUUAGGAUUAAACUUUAACCGACUAAUUUCUAGGUUAGGGAUCUCAUUUUCCUUAUUUUAAGAGUAAGACCACUCGCACAACUUCUCAGUUUAAGAGAAAGUAGUCUGGUCCCGGAGUUGGAAAUGAAGCAGAGUUUUAGUUUUCCAGUUUUAAUUUUUAAAAAAUGGUAAAAAAUAACAUAGUCAUUAAAGAUAGUAACUUAUUUUUAUUAUGCUGUUUAAAGAAAUUGUGUCUUUUGGAAGAUUAUUUUGCCAAUUAUUAAUCUUAGAUUAAGGUACACAUUCAGCUCAAUAAAGUGACCAAAAUACUUUAAAUGACUGAGUUUUCACUGCUUGUAAUAAGAACAACUUGUUUUUAUUUUUCGACAUUCUUUCUAGUUUUACGGCCCAUUACAGUCUUUCAGUGGUAAGAUUAUUUUGCUACUUUUAAGAAUUCUAGCAAAGCUAAACUGGCUUACCCCAUUGGCAGAUUGUUUUGCUCAAUACAAGAAAAUGUGAUUAUAUUUAAGAAUAUCUGGCUUGUUUCUAGAGGGGUUGUGUUUGCAGUGAUCUUAUUUAUUCUGAGGAGCCUGUCUAACCUAAAGGUCUAAAGCACAGCUAAAAUAAACAUGAUUUUACAUUGCACAUAUAAAAAUAGUUUACAUGAAGAAGUUAUCUUUUCUACUUAAUAACAGUAAUACUUAUUAAAUAUAAGCAUGCUUGUUAAUGCAUUUCAUUUGAUAAGAGAUACCUUCCCAGUAUCUGUAUGUAAUUGAGGGUCUAUUGACACAAUGGCCAUUUACAUAUUGAAACGUAUCCAAGUUAGUUUGUCAUUUGUUAUUAUUUGUCAUUUCCUCAUUUCCUUUGAUGCUGAUUUUUUAAUCAACAAUUAUGAUGUUUAGCAUUUAAAAUCAGGUCCCACCGAGAUUUGAACUCGGAUCGCUGGAUUCAGAGUCCAGAGUGCUAACCAUUACACCAUGGAACCGCCUUGACCCUGUUGAUUCUACAUCAAAACGCUACAAUGGCGUCAAGGUUUCAACAGGUUACGCUGAAAGUGUUUGAGGGACAUAGAUAUGAGUAAACACAUUAUUAUUUAGGAUUAAACUUUAACCGACUAAUUUCUAGGUUAGGGAUCUCAUUUUCCUUAUUUUAAGAGUAAGACCACUCGCACAACUUCUCAGUUUAAGAGAAAGUAGUCUGGUCCCGGAGUUGGAAAUGAAGCAGAGUUUUAGUUUUCCAGUUUUAAUUUUUAAAAAAUGGUAAAAAAUAACAUAGUCAUUAAAGAUAGUAACUUAUUUUUAUUAUGCUGUUUAAAGAAAUUGUGUCUUUUGGAAGAUUAUUUUGCCAAUUAUUAAUCUUAGAUUAAGGUACACAUUCAGCUCAAUAAAGUGACCAAAAUAC